ACUCCUGCACCUUCUCACAGGUCUGGGUCUGAACUUCCUCGGGCUUGUGGUGGAUUCUGACAGGCCUGACAUGGUGACUUCGUGUCCCUUCUAUCUUCCUCGUGGUACCUUUCCAGACGGUCAAGGGCCAGUUACUCUUACUGAGAUGAGUUUGGUGCUUAGGAAUCUGCAGCGAGUCAUCUCCAUCAGGAGAGCCCCACUUCGCAAGAGGAUUGAGAUCAUAAGGAGUGUUUUAGGGGUGCAGAAAUUUGACCUGGGAAUCAUCUGUGUGGACAACAAGAACAUUCAGCACCUCAAUAGAACCUACCGAGGGAAAAAUGCCCCGACUGAUGUGCUCUCUUUUCCAUUUCAUGAGAAUCUGAAAGCAGGUGAAAUUCCCCAGCCUGAUUUUCCGGAUGACUGUAAUUUGGGAGACAUUUUCCUAGGAGUGGAGUAUAUCUUCCAGCAGUGCAAGGAAAACGAAGAUUACUAUGACAGCCUGACCCUCUUGGCUUCUGGAGAUCAGCAGGCAUGUGAGCUUAUCAGGGCUGCCGCCUCAGCUUCUUACUGUGCUACCCAGAGCAGAGAGAAUGCCAGCUCCAGGACCUCCCAGAUUCAUCUCUUCCCAGUUUGAUGCAAAACAGGAAAAGUAUUCUGAAAAGCAGAGUGUGUGAGCGAUCAUGUUUUCACGUCUGUGGGAUUCAGUGCAUCUGCCUUCCUCUGGCCGAGCAGCUGUACCCUGGACUAUCUUUUGGGGACCAUGGUGCUUCUGUGUCCACGUGGCAGGAAGCAGAGCUUCCCGGGGAGUCCCAGCGUGAGCGGGGCCGAGGUGACUGCCACCCACGGGCUCUGCCACCUCCUGGGGUUCACACACAGCACGGAGGCAGAGUGGCAGCAGAUGUACCAGAAGGAGAAGCAGGUGCUGGAGGAGCUCAGCCGGCGCACGGGGUCCAGGCUCCAGCCCCUGAG